rnacentral:rRNA from 1 species
GGUCAAUGGCCUAACGGCUGAACUGGCAACUUGGAGAAGUGGCAAGUCUUCCAGUAUGGGGAGCAAAACAGCUAUGGGUCAAGUCCGAUAUCUUUAGGAGAAGUCUUAUUGUGAGGGCGAGUUAUAUAACACCAUAGGACUGGCCGUCCCAUAUGAAAAGAUUAUAUUAGAAUUGAAUGAAGCUUUGUUUAUAUAUUGAUAAUGACAGUAUAUAUAUCGUGUCUUGACUAAUUGCGUGCCAGCAGUCGCGGUAAUACGUAAGAGACUAGUGUUAUUCAUCUUAAUUAGGUUUAAAGGGUACCCAGACGGUCAAUAUAGCUUAUAAAAUGUUAGUACUUGACUAGAGUUUUAUGUAAGAGGGCAGUACUUGAGGAGGAGAGAUGAAAUUUCGUGAUACCAAAGGGACUCUGUAAAGGCGAAGGCAGCCCUCUAUGUAAAAACUGACGUUGAAGGACGAAGGCACAGAGAACAAACAGGAUUAGAUACCCAAGUAGUCUUUGCAGUAAAUGAUGAAUGCCAUAGGUUAGAUUGGUCAAUUAUAGUCUAGGGUUAGUCUAGCAAACUAAUGCCCUGUGCUAUAAUUCAAAAUAUCUGGUCUAUAAAUGAAAGUGUAAGCAUUUCACCUCAAGAGUAAUGUGGCAACGCAGGAACUGAAAUCACUAGACCGUUUCUGACACCAGUAGUGAAGUAUGUUAUUUAA